rnacentral:lncRNA from 1 species
GAGAAUUUCAAAAUCUUCUAAAUUACUCUUUUGAUAAAAAAAUCCAACCAAACCACGUCCGAAUGACAUGAAAAUUUUCACACACAACCGGAAUGACAGAAUAGACUUUAUGCAACUCUCGGAAUUUUAUUCUGAUCCCUAUAUCAAAAUAUCACCUAUCAACCGGAAAACGCCAAAAAUAUCAACUUUGCUAAUUCAAGCCUACAUCUACUACGAACCUCCAUAACUCCUUCCGAUCACACUCCUAAGUCAUAAAUCACCUCCCGAGGCAAACCGGACAUUCAGAACUCAUAUCCGAGCCCGCUAAUAUAUAAGCCAAUAUCCGAUUGACUUUUUCAACUUAAGCUUCCUUAAAAAAGGCUAAGUGCCUCAAACCUUACCAAAAUCAUUCCGGAAUGACUUCAAUUGCACACAAC